CUCGUAGGCGGUUUGUCGCGUCUGCUGUGAAAUCCGGAGGCUCAACCUCCGGCCUGCAGUGGGUACGGGCAGACUAGAGUGCGGUAGGGGAGAUUGGAAUUCCUGGUGUAGCGGUGGAAUGCGCAGAUAUCAGGAGGAACACCAAUGGCGAAGGCAGAUCUCUGGGCCGUAACUGACGCUGAGGAGCGAAAGCAUGGGGGGCGAACA
rnacentral:rRNA from 1 species